UACAUGGGGUGCAAACGUUGCUCGGAAUUAUUGGGCGUAAAGAGCUCGUAGGCGGUUUGUCGCGUCUGCUGUGAAAACUCGGGGCUUAACCCCGGGCCUGCAGUGGGUACGGGCAGACUAGAGUGCGGUAGGGGAGACUGGAAUUCCUGGUGUAGCGGUGAAAUGCGCAGAUAUCAGGAGGAACACCGGUGGCGAAGGCGGGUCUCUGGGCCGUAACUGACGCUGAGGAGCGAAAGCGUGGGGAGCGAACAGG
rnacentral:rRNA from 1 species